GUAAAAUUUUCAUUAAUAAACUAUUGUGUUAAGCUUAAUUGUAGAUUAUUAAGUUUUAUUUAAUCAGUACGUGUUUGUUUAAUCAUUAUUGUAUCAAAAUUGAACAGUAUUUAGACUUUUAUCGUCUUUCUAAACUUUAUCGUUCGAUCGAAGUUUCGAUGAUUUCGAAAGCAUAAUAAUUUUCGCAUGUGCACAUGAUAAUUAAGAGAUAAUCCAAAGAAUUAAUCGAAUGAGCCCAAGGUUAGAAGAUUGAAAACAUUUCUUAUCAUUCAGUUUUUCCAAGAAUUGAUGAUUUGUGUUGUGCCACGCUCGACAUGUUCGACCUGUCGAAUUGUAUCCCCCUCUCCUUUCCUUAGUUUAUGUUUCGAUAUAUCUACAUUCUGUUCUCGAAAGUCGUGACGAUUGGACGCUUCGCUUCAGAUUGCUGAAAUUACUUUAGGCGGGAAAAAUUUUCAAUAUGGAUGCCAUGAUGAUAUUUCACAUUUUAUGGAAAGCAGAUAAAAUUAAAUUUCUUUAUUGAAGAAAAACAUAUAUCAUUGUGCAAUUUGGUCGAUAAAGUCAGUGUUUUUUUUCGUAAUAAUAGUAUUUUUAAUAUUUUUUACAACACAAUAGCUCUGAUUAAAAAUUAAACGCGAAAGUAGAAUCUGUGUUUGUUCGUCAAUUAUAAUUUAAACGGUUGUAUCAAUAGUUUUUUAUUUUAUUUAUUUUUUUUUUUAAUACUCGUUUUCGGUAUGGAGUAGAAUCAGUGCAUCAAGAGAAUAAGGUGAUCAUCCAUCACGCGAAGAGAUACUCCUAUCUGAUGACAACAUUCUUCUGGAUUUCAAUAGCAGUUCUUCGCAUCGAAAAAAUUUCUAUUGUAAUAAUAUUGAUAUCGAGAUGGUGGAAAAUUAACUCCAGUGGACUGUGCAUCAAAAAGUGUAUAUCGAUACAAGUUUUCAUGAAUUGUUGGUUUAAUAUCUUGUAACCACGAUCAAUGACUGGAAUACUAUUCGUGACUAUGCAUUCUCCGAAGGCUGUCUAUCCGAAUACAAACGACCAAGGUCAUGAAUCUACGAGAACGAUAUUUCUUCUUACAAAUCUGCAGCCUCGUUAAAAAGUAUCGUAACAGGCACGAAUCUACUACCAAUCGCCCUACUCUCCGACUAAAAUAAUCGAUAAGAGGUUCUAGAAACUGGUUGAUGCAUCGACCUUUUUUGCCGAAAGAGAAGAAAAAAAUCUUAUCGCUUACACGAUACGCAAAAAGACCACUGUAAGAAUAUCUUUUAUACUAUAUAUAUACCACGUGAGUACAAAAUACUUAUGUAUCAUAAUAACAAAGAAAACAUUGAAACAUCAAAACUUCCAGUUUUAUAAUACGAUAUGUACAAUUAAUACAAAUAAUAAAUUUGUACGAUUCCUACGAUAUUCCAAGGUAAACGAAAACAACGAUACUAUUUUCAAUUCUAACUAUUCUUCCAAUUUCUUUUCCAGUUUCAUUUUUCAACGUGGGUAUGAAAAAUCAUCGUAUCAUCCACACGGUUCCCUCCAGAGGGCAGAAGUUACGCGGCCUAAUAUUAUAUUUCGGUAGAGACCCUACCGGAGAGCGGUGGAA